CCUACGGGAGGCAGCAGUGAGGAAUAUUGGUCAAUGGGCGGAAGCCUGAACCAGCCAAGUCACGUGAGGGAAGAAGGCCCUACGGGUGGUAAACAUCUUUUGCCGGGGAGCAAGUGUGGGGGCGAGUCCCGGCAGCGAGAGUACCUGGAGACAAAGCAUCGGCAAACUCCGUGCCAGCCGCCGCGGUAAUAGGUAGGAUGGGAGCGUUAUCCGGAUUUAUUGGGUUAAAAGGGUGCGUAGGCGGGCUUUCAAGUCAGCGGUAAAAAGUCGGGGCUCAACCCCGGCCGGCCGUUGAAACUGGGGGCCUUGAGUGGGCGAGAAGAAGGCGGAAUGCGUGGUGUAGCGGUGAAAUGCAUAGAUAUCACGCAGAACCCCGAUUGCGAAGGCAGCCUUCCGGCGCCCUACUGACGCUGAGGCACGAAAGCGCGGGGAUCGAACAGGAUUAGAUACCCCUGUAGUC
rnacentral:rRNA from 1 species